AGCAGUGGGGAAUCUUGGACAAUGGGCGCACGUGUGUCCAGCCAUGCCGCGUGAGUGAUGAAGGCCUUAGGGUCGUAAAGCUCUUUCGCCAGGGAUGAUAAUGACAGUACCUGGUAAAGAAACCCCGGCUAACUCCGUGCCAGCAGCCGCGGGAAUACGGAGGGGGUUAGCGUUGUUCGGAAUUACUGGGCGUAAAGAGUACGUAGGCGGAUCAGAUAGUUGGGUGUGAAAUCCCGGGGCUCAACCCCGAACUGCCUCCAAAACUCCUGGUCUAGAGUUCGAGAGAGGUGAGUGGGAUUCCGAGUGUAGAGGUGAGAUUCGUAGAUAUUCGGAGGAACACCAGUGGCGAAGGGGCUCACUGUCUCGAUACUGACGCUGAGAUACGAAAGAGUGGGGAGCGAACAGGAUUAGAUACACUGGGAGACCACACCGUAAACGAUGAAUGCAAGCCGUCGGGGAGCAUGCUAUUCGGUGACACACCUAACGGAUUAAGCAUUCCGCCUGGGGAGUACGGUCGCAAGAUUAAAACUCAAAGGAAUUGACGGGG
rnacentral:rRNA from 1 species